UCUUAAAAGCAUACUUUAAAGUCAUUUUCGCAAGUUAAUUGCUUAUUGGAGAACUGAGAAAGUUAAGGAAAACUAUGUUGAAGGGGAAAUCAAACUUGAUUAAGGUCAAAUUUUUAAGAGCAAAUGUUACAGAGUAAAA